rnacentral:rRNA from 1 species
UACGUAGGUGGCAAGCGUUGUCCGGAUUUACUGGGCGUAAAGAGCGCGCAGGCGGUCGGUCAAGUCGCGUGUGAAAGCCCCCGGCUUAACUGGGGAGGGUCAUUCGAUACUGCUCGGCUCGAAGACAGGAGAGGGAAGCGGAAUUCCCGGUGUAGUGGUGAAAUGCGUAGAUAUCGGGAGGAACACCAGUGGCGAAGGCGGCUUUCUGGCCUGUUCUUGACGCUGAGGCGCGAAAGCUAGGGGAGCAAACGGG